rnacentral:rRNA from 1 species
GCUUAAGAAAAGGAUUUUAGUCCCGCCUAAAGAUAAUCUAAUAAGUCUAAAUAAAAUUUCUGUCUUUAAAGUAAUUCAAAUAAGUUACAGCCUGUUUGAAAUAGGACACAACCUAAACUAAUGGAUAAGCAUCUAAAUUUUUGUUUAAUUAAGUAGGCCUAAAAGCAGCCAUCUUUAAAAUAGCGUCAAAGCUUAAUCAAACCUAACCUCAAUCCCAAAUUACACAGCAAACCCUUUAAUAGUAUUAAGCAAUUCUAUACUCCUAUAGAAAUUUUUAUGUUAAAACUAGUAACAAGAAGAAGACCUUCUCUAAAAUGUAAGUAUAAGUCAGAAAGAACCCCCCACUGACAAUUAACACCUAUGAACCUACAGUAGAAACCCAACAAGAAAAAUCUACUUAACACAAUGUUAACCUAACACAAGAACAUUAAAAGAAAGAUUAAAAGAAAAAGAAGGAACUCGGCAAAUUUUAACCUCGCCUGUUUACCAAAAACAUCGCCUCUUGAAUCAUAUUUGAGGUCCAGCCUGCCCAGUGACUCUGUUCAACGGCCGCGGUAUCCUAACCGUGCAAAGGUAGCGUAAUCACUUGUUCUUUAAAUAAGGACUAGUAUGAAUGGCAUCACGAAGGUUAUACUGUCUCCUUUUUCCAAUCAGUGAAACUGAUCUUCCCGUGAAGAAGCGGGAAUCCAACUAUAAGACGAGAAGACCCUACGGAGCUUUAAACACAAUGUCAUCUGUCCCAGCAAACAUCUUAAAAACUUGCCCAGCAUUUUGACUAUUAGUUUUAGGUUGGGGUGACCGCGGAGUAAAACUUAACCUCCACAUUGAAUAAAUACUAUUUAAACUAAGAGAUACAUCUCUAAGCAUCAAUAAAUUGACAUUCAUUGACCCAAUAUUUUGAUCAACGAACCAAGUUACCCUAGGGAUAACAGCGCAAUCCACUUUGAGAGUCCCUAUCGACAAGAGGGUUUACGACCUCGAUGUUGGAUCAAGGUAUCCCAGUGGUGCAGCCGCUACUAAAGGUUCGUUUGUUCAACGAUUAAAACCUU